ensembl:lncRNA
CGGCACGGCCUCGGGACCCCGGAGCACCGGACCGAUUCCUGCAGUCUCACCUCGCGGCCGCCCAACAAAAGGUUUCACCUGAACAACUCCUCUGCUGGCCGAGAAAAGGAACUACCACUGGUUUCUCCCACACCCAGCCCCCGGAGCCCGCUCGCUUCAAGGCGUUAUGGCCGCACCCAAAGUGGGAGGGAGACACGCAGGGAGAGAGAGCGUGUUCUCCUGAAGGAGGGAGAGAGUCACAGGGAGACACGCAGUGGAUUUUCACAUUAUGGCUAAUUUGUUUUUCUUUAAGUUUAGUUUUUAUUUUGUUUUUUGUCUUCCUAGGACCACAGUAAUGAUAAUCUAAUGCAAUUGGACUAAAGAAGUUUCCCUGAGGUGUAUCUUUUACGCACACACACGCUGCAUAGGGCAGAAGCGGCUGUCUCCAUCCCUCCACCUUGCGAUCUAUACCACCAUAUAGGUGGGGAUUGAUCGUAUCCCAGGUACGGCAUCCUGCAGCGAGCCAGUAUGGAAGGCUGGUUAGCCAACGACGGUUUGUAAUUCCAGCAAGAGAAACACAAAGUUCCAGGGCCAGAGGAGGAGCCAGAUGCAGACACGCCCGGAGCCGACCAACUACCCAAGGAUGAUGCAAUCAAAUUUCAGCAGGGUUACAGUCCCUCAGAUUAGAGUUGGCAGAGAGCUCCGGCAUUAAUGACCCCUUCACAGGAUGGAUGGAGAGCCCAAUGAGCGAUGGGCGCUACAGGUGCAGCAGGUGCCAUCCAAGCUUACCUGGGGAUCGAGUAUACACCGGAGAGUUUGGACGAGGGACCACCAGAGGGGCCCGACCUGAUCUGGCUGGAGAACAUAGAAUAGACCUCCUGCACCAUUGUCCAAGAGCCCCCACGCCAUGCAGCGCACCAAUACAUGAAGAUCACCUGACCUCCCCCCCCUUUUCCCAUCCCAGCCACUGCAAACGGACCCCACCACCAACUACAGAGUACGAGCUCCCCUACACACUCCCAACCUCGCCUCCGAAGAGACACUCCCAACCCCCGCCGACGACUGUGUCCCCGCCGAGCCGGACAUCUACCCGUGAGUGCGAGUGGCCUCUCCAGAUGCACGGCCCCAGCGUCCUGUUUCCAUCACCGUCGGCUGACACCCCACCGCAACACCCCUUCCCUCUCCCCCGCCUGUGACGUGCUAGUAACCUCUCCAGGUGGGCUGCCCCAUUCCCGUCCCCGCCAACGGCAUCACCCCCCUCCCACCUGAGGCACCCACGACGCCCGGACCAGGGAUCUGCGUUCCGGUACCAGGGGCUGCGGCCCGCUCCCUUAAGGCUUGAGGGCACCCCUGGCUGUAUUCGCUUCUGUACGCUUCACUGUUUUUAGCCGCUCCCAUAUCUAUGCCCGCGUCUAAGCAAACCGACGCCGGGAACGUAGAUGUUGUUGUUUAUAUCGCUGUCCCACUAGAUGGAGCUCGGGGAUACACACGGGCGAGAUUCCAGGGGCCUUGAUUGCCCGUUUAUCAGAUGAGGUCCUGAGCGCAGUUGAAUAAAAGGGUCUAAUGCUCAGGUGGCGCCUUGCGACCACCUGCCCAUGAUGACGCUCAGGACUAUUCCAUGGUUUCAGUUGUUCCCGUGCCCCGAGCCUACCCUGGAUGCCCCAUGCGUGUGAUUGCUUGUUGUAACACGACCAGUCAACUCCUCCUCACAUCCUUAGUGUGUGGUCCUCUAGGGAUGGGUUGAGGGGGAUUGCCAUUCGUUAUCCGCCUCAUAUCUUCGCUAUUAUUUAGGGACACGUUUCGUGGUUACAUUUCUUUCCUGUGAUCGUUAGUGUAGUAUUUGUGUGAUUGUUGCAUUUUUAUAUUGUUCUUGUUUACUGUUUGUUUUAUUGUUGCAUUUUGUUGUUAUGUUUGGAGUUUGUUUUAUUGUUGCAUUUUGUUGUUAUGUUUGGAGUUUGUUUUAUUGUUGCAUUUUGUUGUUAUUGUUAUGGUUUGGUGUUGGUUUUGUUAUGUGGCCAGCUUUGUUGUUGGUUGUUGUUUUUUGGUGUUGGUUUUUGUAUUAUUGUAUGUUUAUGGUAUGUUUUGUGUAUUAUCUGCUACUAUUAUUGUUGGUAUUGUUUGCUCGCAAUGUAGGGCCGGGGUGGAUGCCACCCCCUAGGUGGGGUGUGUAUGGCAUGCCCAUGCCUGAAGCAUGGGUGGCGUUUCUCCCAAGUGGUUCCCCAUACACCCGGUCCAGCGAGCUGUUUUCAUCCCAGGCUCAUGGUUAUUUGUUUUUAUGGUCAUUUGCCUUCUUUCUGUUAUUUCUAAUAUUGUUAUAAUGGUAGUCCCGCGCUGGAGUCCUAUCCCUCGUACCCCUAAUGAGUAAAAGUCGUCUUGCGACGACUUGAGGGGGAUAUGUUGGGCAAAAUAACCUGCUGAGUACAUCACAUGUACAUUAUAAGUAUAGCUAACUCCUACCCUAGAUUAAUGAGCACAUCACAUGGCAGUCAACUUACAAUAUAGUCAACUUUUAACACAUAACACAUACAUGAGAAUAUAGUCAGGUCAAGGCCGGAGCCGAAG